UACGAAGGGGGCUAGCGUUGUUCGGAAUUACUGGGCGUAAAGCGCACGUAGGCGGAUAUUUAAGUCAGGGGUGAAAUCCCGGGGCUCAACCCCGGAACUGCCUUUGAUACUGGGUAUCUGGAGUCCGAGAGAGGUGAGUGGAAUUCCGAGUGUAGAGGUGAAAUUCGUAGAUAUUCGGAGGAACACCAGUGGCGAAGGCGGCUCACUGGCUCGGUACUGACGCUGAGGUGCGAAAGCGUGGGGAGCAAACAGG
rnacentral:rRNA from 1 species